rnacentral:rRNA from 1 species
GAUGAACGCUGGCGGCGUGCCUAAUACAUGCAAGUCGAGCGAACGGACGAGAAGCUUGCUGCUCUGAUGUUAGCGGCGGACGGGUGAGUAACACGUGGAUAACCUACCUAUAAGACGGGGAUAACUUCGGGAAACCGGAGCUAAUACCGGAUAAUAUUUUGAACCGCAGUGUUCAAAAGUGAAAGACGGUCUUGCGGUCACUUAUAGAUGGAUCCGGGCUGCAUUAGCUAGUUGGUAAGGUAACGGCUUACCAAGGCAACGAGGCAUAGCCGACGGGUGAGGCGGAUCGGCCACCCGGGAGCGUGACCACGGACAAGACGCCUACGGGAGGGCGCAGAAGGGAACGUUACGCAACGGGCGAGAGCCUGACGGAGCAACGGGGCGCGAGAUAUGACAGUGCUGCGAGCGUAAAACUGGGUUAUUGGGUGUGAACAUAUGUGUAAGGAACUGUGCAGAGAUUGACGGUACCUGGUCAGAAAGCCACGGCUAACUACGUG